GCGGGAGUGGCGAAAAGGUAAACGCAGUAGACUUAAAAUCUACCGCCAUUGAAUGGCUUGCGGGUUCGAGUCCCGCCUCCCGUA
rnacentral:tRNA from 1 species